rnacentral:rRNA from 1 species
GCCAGCCGCCGCGGUAAUACGGAGGGUGCAAGCGUUAAUCGGAAUUACUGGGCGUAAAGCGCACGCAGGCGGUUUGUUAAGCUAGAUGUGAAAGCCCCGGGCUCAACCUGGGAUGGUCAUUUAGAACUGGCAGACUAGAGUUUUGGAGAGGGGAGUGGAAUUCCAGGUGUAGCGGUGAAAUGCGUAGAUAUCUGGAGGAACAUCAGUGGCGAAGGCGACUCUCUGGCCAAAGACUGACGCUCAUGUGCGAAAGUGUGGGUAGCGAACAGGAUUAGAUACCCUGGUAGUCCACACCGUAAACGCUGUCUACUAGCUGUUUGUGAAUUUAAUUCGUGAGUAGCGAAGCUAACGCGCUAAGUAGACCGCCUGGGGAGUACGGCCGCAAGGUUAAAACUCAAAUGAAUUGACGGGGGCCCGCACAAGCGGUGGAGCAUGUGGUUUAAUUCGAUGCAACGCGAAGAACCUUACCUACACUUGACAUGCAGAGAACUUUCCAGAGAUGGAUUGGUGCCUUCGGGAACUCUGACACAGGUGCUGCAUGGCUGUCGUCAGCUCGUGUCGUGAGAUGUUGGGUUAAGUCCCGCAACGAGCGCAACCCUUGUCCUUAGUUGCCAGCAUUAAGUUGGGCACUUUAAGGAGACUGCCGGUGACAAACCGGAGGAAGGUGGGGGACGACGUCAAGUCAUCAUGGCCCUUACGUGUAGGGCUACACACGUGCUACAAUGGCAUGUACAGAGGGAAGCGAGACAGUGAUGUGGAGCGGACCCCUUAAAGCAUGUCGUAGUCCGGAUUGGGAGUCUGCACCCGACCCCAUGAAGUUCGGA